ACUAUCUUCGACCCAGAAGAAACAUGUAUGAUCGACACCAGUGAUUUAGAUGUAUUUAUUUUGUUUACAAUACUACCAUCUAGUGGUUAUGUAGUAAACAGCAGCCUUUUGAAAUAAAACACGAACCAAUAUAUAUACAGCUCUCCUCUUUAAUACUAAUCAAAACUGCAAACAGCCUUUUAUGGAGUUUUUCCUUCUGAACGUAGCAUAGAGAUAUAAAACACACACACACACACAAAUGUGGCCUAUAUUUUCCAAAAGUCACAACCAAAAUCGAGGAUUGCUCCAGGACAAAAAAAUUAAUCAAUGUGACCCGAGGAAAGAUUUUUAAAUGUCACUUUUAGCUUUUUUCCUCUUUAAUCACAAUUAGACCCAAACUACUUUCCUUUAACAAUUUAUAUUAAUAAUUUAAUGUGUUUACCUUUACCUACCUUUUAUAGCUAUGUAGAUUAAAAAGUUUAGAUGUGGCACUGAAUAUUCCUUUGAAAGUUUCAUCUUACGAUUAAAACGACUACUUGAGGAUAUAAUAAAAAACAAAAUUGCCAAUUUAGAAUUAAACAAAUAAUCAAUUUUUAACAGAACAUAAAAUGCCCACAGACAAUCACUGUUGCUGAACAAUUAUUCAAAUUUUGUUUUUUUAGAAUUCAACAAUGCAAUCCUCCACAAAACAUUUCUUUCUGUAAAAAAUAAGAUGGUAAAACAUGCCACAGAUGCACAAAAUUAAAUGUUCUUUCUGUAAAUAUAAACAUCAACCCAUGUGAUACAGACGCUUCAUUUACAGUGUCAAGUCAAAUAACAGCCAAAUACAAAUAAUGACAACAUUACUACUCCAAACAGUAGAAAAACUAUCAAACAAUCAACUCAGAGAAUUCACACAAACAUUUAAAAUAAAGGUUACAGACGAAAUAUCAGAUGCUUUAUGGCUGAAACUAAGAUGAAUUUUUUUAGUUUGUCCUUCCCUGACAAAUGUAAGGUGACUCAGAUGUGGCUGUGGAAAAACAUUCUAUCAUGAACGUAAAUGGAAAGGCACUUAAACCAAUAAAUAGUUAUUU